rnacentral:rRNA from 1 species
AGAUUAAGUUAUUAAGGGCGCACGGUGGAUGCCUUGGCACUAGAAGCCGAUGAAGGACGUUACUAACGACGAUAUGCUUUGGGGAGCUGUAAGUAAGCUUUGAUCCAGAGAUUUCCGAA